rnacentral:rRNA from 1 species
UACGUAGGGUGCAAGCGUUAAUCGGAAUUACUGGGCGUAAAGCGUGCGCAGGCGGUUUUGUAAGUCUGUCGUGAAAUCCCCGGGCUCAACCUGGGAAUUGCGAUGGAGACUGCAAGGCUAGAAUCUGGCAGAGGGGGGUAGAAUUCCACGUGUGAGCAGUGAAAUGCGUAGAGAUGUGGAGGAACACCGAUGGCGAAGGCAGCCCCCUGGGUCAAGAUUGACGCUCAUGCACGAAAGCGUGGGGAGCAAACGAGGAUA